UCGACACGAUAUCGAUGGCGACACCAGUCAACACACUGGUGUGUGGAAGCAGACUGAUUCAUUUCAGCCCGGUGCAAACCGCGAACAGGUCAGAGACCUGGGGAGCUUCGCAAUAACUCAACAUUUCGCCGCCCCGAUCGCACAGAUAUCUGUCG
rnacentral:sRNA from 12 species